GACGAACGCUGGCGGCGUGCUUCACACAUGCAAGUCGAGCGGAGCGGCGAACGGGUGAGUAACGCGAGAGUAACUGCCCCCCUCUCUGGGAUAACAGUUGGAAACGGCUGCUAAUACCGGAUAGUGGGGGAUGACUCGCGUCCUAUCCGCUUGUUGGUGGGGUAGUGGCCUACCAAGGCGACGACGGGUAGCCGGCCUGAGAGGGCGACCGGCCACAUUGGGCUGAGAUACGGCCCAAAAUCCUACGGGAGGCAGCAGUGGUGAAUAUGGCACAAUGGGGGAAACUCUGAUGCAGCAUCGCCGCGGUCGGGAUGACGGCCCUCGGGUUGUAAACCGCUGUCAGCCAUGACGCGGUAGUGGCAGAAUAAGCACCGGCUAACUACGUGCCAGCAGCCGCGGUAAUUC
rnacentral:rRNA from 1 species